UCAAUGUAAUUUGCUUAUCUGGUCAACAAAGGUCCAUUUACAUUGAUUUUGAUGGAAAAUUAGAUCUGAAUUACAUAUUACAUAUUUAAAGUUUACAUUUCUUGAUUAUAAAGGUAGAAUUUGAAAUUAUUUUCUCAGUGUUUUAAAUGGGUUGGUUUUUUUUUUUGAUGGCUUUGACCAUUAAAUUGAAAAAAAUCAAUGAAAUGGACCUUUGUUGUGGUGUGGAUAGGCUUGGGUGUAGGGGUGCCGGGAGCCCAAGUAGUGUCGUUAAAAAAGUAUUAACAUUAGUGUUACUUUACUCUUAUUUUAUGAAAGUUUUUUUCGCAAGUUGAUUUCCUUUAUUUUUUUAAUGUAGAAUGGUAAUGAACUGCUUUUUUCCUUUUCUUUGCUUUAUUUGUUCCGUUUGAAUUUGAUUUAUCUGUUUAGUUUUUGAUUGUUUAAUUAUUGUUUUUGUUAAUUAAGUUGAUUCUUUUAAACUUUGUUUUUAUUUUUAUACGUCCGUCGUCCACAAUUUCUUGUGAACGCUCUAGAGACUAAAGUUAAUAUCUGAUAUUUACUGCCAGAGUUAUAGCCCUUGAUCACUUUGAUAAAUCUUGUGAACGCUCUAGAGGCUAAAGUUAAUAUCCAAUGGACUCCAAAUUGUUACACAGUGUGUAAGGUCAUGAGACGAAGAAGCCUAAUGAUUUUCAGCGAUAUCCGAUAAUUACUACCAGAGUUAUGGCCCUUGAUCACUUUGAAAAAUCUUGUGAAGACUCUAGAGGCUAAAGUUAAAAUCCAAUUGACUUUAAAUUUAUACACAGUGUUUAAGGUCAUGAGACAAGACGCCUAUUGAUUUUCAGCGAGAUCUGAUGAUUACUGCAAGAGUUAUGGCAUUGAUAUGUGAGAGACAUCAGUUUAAAGUCGAUUCUGGUUAUUAUAAUCUAAUGUAUGAACUUUGUGUUGAUUUUACCAGCCUGUAAUUGUGGUAUCAUAAUUAAUUGUGAUUUUAACAUUUUUUUUAGUUAACUAUAUUAAAUGAAUUCCAAAUGUACGUGUUGGCGAGGGGGUACAUUAAUAAUUAUAUGUUUUUGUAGUACAUGUUCCUUGUUUUAUAAUAAAACUACGCCCUUUCAUUUUUCAGAAGAAAAGUAUAGAAAAUAUUUCCAAUUAUCUAUCUUGAGAUCACAGAGAUUGAAUGCUGCAGGUCUUGUGUUUAGUGUAUAGACUAAUUGGUGGAUGUUAUUAACAUUAACCUUUUAGCAAAGGUUAGCUUGAUGAUGUUACUGACUUUGCAGUGUAGUGGAAGAUGUUAACCUAACUUUGGUAGACAACAAGCCUAACCCUGAAGUCAACGAUGUACAAUAUGUCAGUGUCACUGUUCCACUACCAAACGUAACGCGAAUAUAAACAAUACUUACGGGUACAUGUAUUUACUUUGAUUGAAAUGAGGUCAACUUAAAAAUUUGUGUAGAUGUGUUAUUUGUUGUAACAGUUAUAUCCAUAAAAGUUAUAUCCAUAAAAUGUAAA